rnacentral:rRNA from 1 species
AUUGAACGCUGGCGGCAGGCCUAACACAUGCAAGUCGAACGGUAACAGGAAGAAGCUUGCUUCUUUGCUGACGAGUGGCGGACGGGUGAGUAAUGUCUGGGAAUCUGCCUGAUGGAGGGGGAUAACUACUGGAAACGGUAGCUAAUACCGCAUAACGUCGCAAGACCAAAGAGGGGGACCUUCGGGCCUCUUGCCAUCGGAUGUGCCCAGAUGGGAUUAGCUAGUAGGUGGGGUAACGGCUCACCUAGGCGACGAUCCCUAGCUGGUCUGAGAGGAUGACCAGCCACACUGGAACUGAGACACGGUCCAGACUCCUACGGGAGGCAGCAGUGGGGAAUAUUGCACAAUGGGCGCAAGCCUGAUGCAGCCAUGCCGCGUGUAUGAAGAAGGCCUUCGGGUUGUAAAGUACUUUCAGCGGGGAGGAAGGGAGUAAAGUUAAUACCUUUGCUCAUUGACGUUACCCGCAGAAGAAGCACCGGCUAACUCCGUG